rnacentral:rRNA from 1 species
UUCCGUAGGGGUAACCUGCGGAGGGAUCAUUACAAGUGACCCCGGUCUAACCACCGGGAUGUUCAUAACCCUUUGUUGUCCGACUCUGUUGCCUCCGGGGCGACCCUGCCUUCGGGCGGGGGCUCCGGGUGGACACUUCAAACUCUUGCGUAACUUUGCAGUCUGAGUAAACUUAAUUAAUAAAUUAAAACUUUUAACAACGGAUCUCUUGGUUCUGGCAUCGAUGAAGAACGCAGCGAAAUGCGAUAAGUAAUGUGAAUUGCAGAAUUCAGUGAAUCAUCGAAUCUUUGAACGCACAUUGCGCCCCCUGGUAUUCCGGGGGGCAUGCCUGUUCGAGCGUCAUUUCACCACUCAAGCCUCGCUUGGUAUUGGGCAACGCGGUCCGCCGCGUGCCUCAAAUCGACCGGCUGGGUCUUCUGUCCCCUAAGCGUUGUGGAAACUAUUCGCUAAAGGGUGCUCGGGAGGCUACGCCGUAAAACAAACCCAUUUCUAAGGUUGACCUCGGAUCAGGUAGGGAUACCCGCUGAACUUAAGCAUAUCAAUAAGCGGAGGA